UGCUAAAAUAUUGUCUAUUACCUAUUAUUAUGCCUAAAUGUAACCUGUCUGUAUAGGAACGCCUGUAAAUUGAUGUCAUAUUUUGGCUACGAAACCACAUUUAAUUAAUAAUUUGCCACAGUGGGAGGAGCUCAUCUUUCUGACUUGAAUCAGACUGACGGAGAGGGAUACAGGUUUUGGAUCGUAGUUUUGGACCGCUUGAAGUUUGUUCACACAACCCCUCUAAAAGGUCGUGGUUCGACUCUGCUUGGCGUCAUUUUAGCUGCAGAAGUGACACUGAUCUUCACAAACGUCCAGUGGAAUCAUGAAGUCCCAUCAGAUCUCUGCCUUCUGCCUCCUGAUGACAGUGCUGCUGUCCGCCUCUCUGGCUCAAUAUCUCAUUGAACCAGUGCCGUGCUGUUCUAGAUACUUUACUGCAAGACUGAGGAUGGAUCUGAUAACUAGAUAUGAAGAGACCAUAGCAGACUGUGAUAAACCUGGAAUUAUGUUUUACACCAAAAGUCGCCGUAUACUGUGUGUCGAUCCCAGCGAACGCUGGGUUCAGCAGGUGAAGCAGAAGCUGGAUCUGCAGUAACGCCUCCUGUCUGCCUGGCAAAACACGAAGAAUGAAUUUUAUUGCAUUUACACUUCUGGUGUAAUUUUCAUAUCACACUAUUUUGUGUCACUAUACAAUCAUUCAAACUUGUUUAUUUCUAAAACAGCAGUCAAAUGUCAGUUACACUCAUAUUCCUUUGCAUGCAUAUAACUGAUUAAAGAUAAUUGAAAGUUAAUGGUGGCUGACUGUUCAUGGUGGGUUUUCAUUUAAAUUGUAUAAUUUACGAAACAACAUGCCUUUGGUUGGUGGGUGUAUGAAAAAGACAGUUACAGAUAAUAUAUUCUGAAUGAAUGAUAUAAAUAUUUGCAUUUUCAAUUUAUGUUCAGUACCAGUCAAAAUUUUGGACACAUCUACCCAUAGAAAGAUUUAUUUGUAGUAUUCUAUCUUUUGAAAUAAUUAUAGAGAGAUAAAAACUAUAAAAUAACAUAUAUGGAAGUAAGAAUUGACCAAAAAAGUAUUUAAAAAUUAUUUUUUAAGGAAAGGCAGGUGUUAUAAAAAAUACUCAGGGACCCAAAUGUGGUGCAAGGGGAGUUUAUGGAAUCGACGAUAUUGUUCCUUGUCAGGGUCACGGAGCUGAAGAAGUCAUAAGCCAGGAAAGACAGUCCUACAAGGACACGAAGGACAGAAGGUACAGUUAGGGCAUCGGGAGAUGGGGCGUGGAAGGACUGGGGCUGAGAAGGUGGGGCAGGUUAGGGCAAGACGAAGGACAUGAGAGCAGUGCUCAGUAAGUGACAUCAGGUCAGACAUAGCUAAGAGUUCAGGUGUUUCCACUUUGGAGAAGCUGAUUACGCAGCAUCUUUGGUAUCUUCAGUCUUUCUCGAGGGAUCAGAAGCUUGGAACUUUUAAGGUCUACGGUUCAUGAAAAUUCAUCACUGGGAGUCCCUCACUGGGACCAGUGGUUGAGGGAUGUUUACAGUAGACCACUAAAUUUAUGACCCUUUAGACCUUAGAGUUGAUUUUGAUUAGAGUUGAAUGAGUAUUUAACUUGAAAUAUGUACAAUUACGUUCCAAUCCAUUAUCACAUUCGUACACCAAACGUCACAUCACGACCUGGAGGUUUACACAUCCAAAGCAAGAUAGAAUUUAAAGCCAGGUCAGACAAUCCUGGCUGCAUCUAUUCCUUUGAUAAACUUCCUUAGCUGCUGUCUUGUUCACUGACGUUACUUUGGUAGAACUUUGCUUAUUGCAUCACUUAGCUCUUCAUCUCCAAAAUGCAUCCUGUGUCUUUAGUUCCUGAUGUCUGAGCUGAAAACUCACCUAAUGUGCGGGUAGCUCUUGUCACAUGCUAACACACGCAGCAUUCUGCACCACCAAUGCCAUGAUUUCCGGGAGGUUAAUGUGUCAGUUUUGUAUAAUUGUAAAUGUGCAAGAAAAAAUGGAAGCUUAGUGUGAGAGAAUGAGAUUGGACUUAACUGUGGCCGUCUCACGGUCAGUCAUGGGGCAUCUGACAGCCUUGAAGUCAAUGAUUUUACAAAAGGUAUUGGAAGAAUUUGAUCAAGUGUAUGAAUCUCGUCAAAUACUGCUGACUGACGAUAUUAUAGAAAAUGAGAGGGUUGAUUGGAAGGAGUCCAUAAGUACUUUUAAAACUCAGAUUGAUCCACAUGCACUGGUAGAUCCCUCUGUGCUUCAAAAGGAUCAAACAAUAAUAAAAAUGUAGCUGUAAUGUA